GUAGGUGGCAAGCGUUGUCCGGAAUUAUUGGGCGUAAAGCGCGCGCAGGCGGUCCUUUAAGUCUGAUGUGAAAGCCCACGGCUCAACCGUGGAGGGUCAUUGGAAACUGGGGGACUUGAGUGCAGAAGAGGAAAGCGGAAUUCCAAGUGUAGCGGUGAAAUGCGUAGAGAUUUGGAGGAACACCAGUGGCGAAGGCGGCUUUCUGGUCUGUAACUGACGCUGAGGCGCGAAAGCGUGGGGAGCAAACAGGGAUUAGAUACCCUGGUAGUCCACGCCGUAAACGAUGAGUGCUAAGUGUUAGGGGGGUUUCCGCCCCCUUAGUGCUGCAGCUAACGCAUUAAGCACGCCGCCUGGGGAGUACGGCCGCAAGGCUG
rnacentral:rRNA from 1 species